rnacentral:rRNA from 1 species
GCUCAGGACGAACGCUGGCGGCGUGCCUAAUACAUGCAAGUCGAACGCUUCUUUUCUACCGAGUGCUUGCACUCAUUUGAAAAGAGGAGUGGCGGACGGGUGAGUAACACGUGGGUAACCUACCCAUCAGAGGGGGAUAACACUUGGAAACAGGUGCUAAUACCGCAUAAUAGUCGACACCGCAUGGUGUUGAUUUGAAAGACGCUUUCGGGUGUCACUGAUGGAUGGACCCGCGGUGCAUUAGCUAGUUGGUGAGGUAACGGCUCACCAAGGCCAUGAUGCAUAGCCGACCUGAGAGGGUGAUCGGCCACACUGGGACUGAGACACGGCCCAGACUCCUACGGGAGGCAGCAGUAGGGAAUCUUCGGCAAUGGACGAAAGUCUGACCGAGCAACGCCGCGUGAGUGAAGAAGGUUUUCGGAUCGUAAAACUCUGUUGUUAGAGAAGAACAAGUAGGAGAGUAACUGCUCUUACCUGACGGUAUC